GUAACAGUGAUGUAUACUUAAAAACCCUAACUACAUUCUCAUUCAGAUAGUUGCACCUAUUCACACAUUCAAAACCCUUAAAUCUACCGAUUCACACCAGAUUUAACCCUAAAUCUACCAAUUCACACGAAAUUUAACCCUAAAUCACAACACCGUAGUUCAGUUUCAUUAGAGAAUUGAAGCUCUGCUUCAUUGUACGAUUCAUUGAUCUUCACAAAUGAUUCAAGUGUUCGACGCAUUAGACAUAUCGAUUGAUCUUGUAAUCCAGACGAUUCAUUGAUCUUCACAAAUGAUUCUCGAAGCAUAUGCACGAUUUGGAUGAUUACGCACACGAUUUGGAUCUUCUGAACUUCGUUGUUACAGAAAGCUAGGGUUUGAUUCUGCACAUCGAUUCACAGACGAUUCUCAGGCUUUAUCUUCUGAACAGGUUCGUAUCCUCUUUGGUUAGGACUAGGAUUAGCGGCUAGGUUUUGAGGUUUGUGCAUACAACUGAGUUGAGAUACGACUAGACAUACGAUUCUAAACAGAGGAUUCUGAAUAGAACAUUGAUACGUACCGUUCUUCAAUCAGGUAAUUUCAGUUGAAUCUUAAAGAUCUGGUUCAAUAUACCUGUUUUUUGAUUUCUAGGUUACAACGUUCUCUUUAUAUACGUUUAUAUUCGUUCAAAUCAUGUCGAUACAUUGAUGAAUGAUGAUAUGAGUUCAAUCUGCAUCAGAUCAUUUUCACAUAUUAGGGUUUAGCAAGGUGAUGAUCUUCAAUUUGAUCAAUUAGUUAGGGUUUGUUGACUAUUGAUUUCGUUGAGACUAUUGUUAAUCCAAAAAACUGUUCAUAUGUAAUCUGUUGAGAAUUUAGACUGUUGAUUUCGUUGAUAAUUGUUUAAUUGCCUAUCAAUUUGUAGCAGAUUUUUUACACUGAAGUUAAUUUGUUGUUGUUUGACUACUUGAUUUAUCGGAUGAUCUGAUUAAGCGAUUUCCACCUAUUACUUGUGAGUUUAUCUGUUUUUGUUGAUUUUAAUUGAAGAAUCGAGUGUUUAGGGUUUACGAAUGUUUGCAGUUGAUAUAUUUGGGUGAUGUUUGAUGUUGUUUUCUAGUUGAACAGGAAUUUGCCAGGUGUAUGCAAGGAGUACUAGGCUGCUCUUGUCGAUAGCUACUCUGUAGUGCUUUUGAUUCUGUUUAGGUUGUGAGUUAUUAAUAUGUGCUUGUUGAGCUGAUCAAAUUGCAUUGUAAAGUGUUAGGGAUUAUUGUGAUGUGUCGUAAUUGUUGCUCAUAUUGAGCUUUCAGCUAAGAAGGUCAUGAUUAGUUUUCAAACUCAAUAUCGGUGUUAAUCAUUUUAUGGUGGUUGUGCUUCUGUUAUAGUAUGUCUCCAGCAGUCCAGCUGUCCAGCUGGUUGAUUGCACACACGUAUCUGUGAUUCAUACAACUUGCAUUUAACAAAGUGGGUAGUUCGAUGUGUGCUACGCUGUCAAGGCGCAUAAACGCAUUCAAAGCGUAUAGCCUAGGCACCAGGCGCUUAAAAAGCGAGAGGGCUAAGCUAGGCAUAUAGUACAAAAAUACUAUUUUUAGGGGUUUUAGACAUGUUUUAGGCUCGUUUAGGGCUAGUUUAGGCUCUUUUAGGUUGAUUUUAUGCUUAUUUAGGUUGAUUCUAGCUUUAUUUAUGGGUUGUUUUUCACCAUUUACACUCUUUUUUAUUACUGACACUUCCUUGCCGACACAGGACCUGGAGCUCCCCAGAUUUGCAAUGUGGUUAUUGAGAUCACUAAAGGAAGCAAAGUGAAAUAUGAACUUGACAAGAAAACCGGCCUCAUUAAGGUAAAUUACCGGCACUUUGAAGUUUGAUGCACAACGUAUAUCAAGUUGAUUUGAUAGUAGAAAAUGGGCGCUGAAGGAGAACGGGUUCAGGAGCACGCGGAGGACGAAGCUGGUGUGCACGAUCGGGCUGGCAGAUACUGUUUCACUUUUUUUUUUAAGUUAAUAAACCAAACACAUCUACCGCACUUUUUACUAAUAUGCAUUGAUCGGAGCUAAAAGCGAUGUCGUUUAUGUAUGAUAUGUUUGUUUUGCAGUCGUUUCCGAGGGUCGUCUGGUUGGACGGAAGUGGGAGGCAACUGAUCCAAUGGCCUGUGGAGGAGAUUUGAUGAUAAUUUAUUUUCAUCCAUCUGGAACAUGCAGGAGAGUAUCUUGCUUCUGGUGCUGAUGGUACGAGUUAUUAAGUUGAUUUGAUGAUAAUUUAUUUCCAUUAAUAAAGAGACAAAUACACGGUUUAAACUCUUAUAAAUGUGGGUGGUGAGCUGAUAAUAUGGAAGCAGAACAAAAUACUGACUCUGGUCAAGCAUGGAAGGUCCUCAAGACACUAUCGUACGGCCUUUCGUUUCUAACAUAUAACAUAUAUGCUGAUAUUGAUACGUAAGCAAUAUACUAUCAGAUAAGCACUAAAACAAACCAGAAAACCGCCAGUUCACAGUUUAUGUCUUAUCCAAAGUCUACUACCCCUUGGGUUUUCUCAAAAGGUACGACUCACAUAUUCUCUAAUUCUACUGAAAGAAUUAAUAUUACAGGAGACCAGGAAACCUGGAUUCGAUUCUUGAGCCAAUCGGAUUUUACCGAUAAUUUCACCGUCGUCCCUACCGUCAUCCCUACUUCUAUUAUUUCCUAGAUUAUGUUGUAUAUUUUUAGUUUAUAUAACCCAAAAACUAAGGCUGAAUAGGAUCAGUGGAUUUUAAACCUUCAUGUCCUACAUUUGAUUAAUCCUGAUCUAGCGCUGUUGUUUUUCUGAUGUGACAACUGACUAGCCACAUUUUUGGGUGUAUCUGGGCCUCUUUAAUGUGGAUGGUCUUGAAAAGUUACCAUGUUAUAAUCUUAAGUGGUUUAUUUUCUUCCAGGUUGUUCGUUAUGGUGAGGUUUAUAAAUCAGAUUGGAAUGGAAUGGUAAGAUGGAUCUGAUCGUUUUAUACUAGUUUUAUUGUAUAUUAAUAGUAGUGCGAGUUCUGUUUUGAGUUUCAAUGCUUGUAAUGUUUUAGAACAAAGUGUUGCAAAAGGAUUGUAGUUUAGUUACUUCAAUUGGAUGGAAAGGAACUGAACUGUAGUUUCGAUGUUUGGAUUUGGAAAAUUUAAUUUUAGUUAUUUGAUGUUUUGAUUUGGAAGUUUA